CCUACGGGAGGCAGCAGUGAGGAAUAUUGGUCAAUGGCCGGAAGGCUGAACCAGCCAUGCCGCGUGAAGGUCAGUGCCCUAUGGGCGUUAAACUUCUUUUGUGCGGGAGCAAUAAUGGUCACGUGUGGCCAGACGAGAGUACCGUACGAAUAAGCAUCGGCUAACUCCGUGCCAGCAGCCGCGGUAAUACGGGGGAUGCAAGCGUUAUCCGGAUUUUUUGGGUUUAAAGGGUGCGUAGGCUGUGAGGUAAGUCAGCGGUGAAAUGCCCCGGCUCAACGGGGUGGAGUGCCAUUGAUACUGCCUUGCUGGAGUGCGGAUGCCGUAGGAGGAAUGAGUAGUGUAGCGGUGAAAUGCAUAGAUAUCACACAGAACACCGAUUGCGAAGGCAUCUCACGAAUCCGCGAUUGACGCUGAUGCACGAAAGCGUGGGUAUCAAACAGGAUUAGAUACCCCUGUAGUC
rnacentral:rRNA from 1 species